AGAGUUUGAUCCUGGCUCAGGAUGAACGCUGGCGGCGUGCCUAACACAUGCAAGUCGAGCGAUUCUCUUCGGAGAAGAGCGGCGGACGGGUGAGUAACGCGUGGGUAACCUGCCCUGUACACACGGAUAACAUACCGAAAGGUAUGCUAAUACGGGAUAAUAUAUAAGAGUCGCAUGACUUUUAUAUCAAAGAUUUUUCGGUACAGGAUGGACCCGCGUCUGAUUAGCUUGUUGGCGGGGUAACGGCCCACCAAGGCGACGAUCAGUAGCCGACCUGAGAGGGUGAUCGGCCACAUUGGAACUGAGACACGGUCCAAACUCCUACGGGAGGCAGCAGUGGGGAAUAUUGCACAAUGGGCGCAAGCCUGAUACAGCAACGCCGCGUGAGCGAUGAAGGCCUUCGGGUCGUAAAGCUCUGUCCUCAAGGAAGAUAAUGACGGUACUUGAGGAGGAAGCCCCGGCUAACUACGUGCCAGCAGCCGCGGUAAUACGUAGGGGGCUAGCGUUAUCCGGAUUUACUGGGCGUAAAGGGUGCGUAGGCGGUCUUUCAAGUCAGGAGUUAAAGGCUACGGCUCAACCCCGCUCAGCCGUUGAAACUGAUUAUCUAGCGUGGCGUCGAGGUAUGCGGAAUGCGUUGUGUAGCGGUGAAAUGCAUAGAUAUGACGCAGAACUCCAAUUGCGAAGGCAGCAUACCGGGCGCCUACGGACGCUGAGGCACGAAAGCGUGGGUAUCGAACAGGAUUAGAUACCCUGGUAGUCCACGCAGUAAACGAUGAAUACUUGCUAUUCGGCGGGACUGACCGCUGGGUGGCGGAGCGAAAGCGUUAAGUAUUCCACCUGGGGAGUACGCCGGCAACGGUGAAACUCAAAUGAAUUGACGGGGGCCCGCACAAGCGGUGGAGCAUGUGGUUUAAUUCGAUGCAACGCGAAGAACCUUACCUGGUCUUGACAUCCACAGAACUUUCCAGAGAUGGAUUGGUGCCUUCGGGAACUGUGAGACAGGUGCUGCAUGGCUGUCGUCAGCUCGUGUUGUGAAAUGUUGGGUUAAGUCCCGCAACGAGCGCAACCCUUAUCCUUUGUUGCCAGCGGUCCGGCCGGGAACUCAAAGGAGACUGCCAGUGAUAAACCGGAGGAAGGUGGGGAUGACGUCAAAUCAUCAUGCCCCUUAUGACCUGGGCUACACACGUGCUACAAUGGACGGUACAGAGGGUCGCAACCCCGCGAGGGUGAGCUAAUCCCAUAAAACCGUUCUCAGUUCGGAUUGUAGGCUGCAACUCGCCUACAUGAAGCCGGAAUCGCUAGUAAUCGUGGAUCAGCAUGCCACGGUGAAUACGUUCCCGGGCCUUGCACACACCGCCCGUCA
rnacentral:rRNA from 1 species